GAUCUUGACAUCCAAUUGACCAUCUUUUAAUUCGUAGAUUUUGCCUUCGGGUACAAUUGAGACAGGUGGUGCAUGGUUGUCGUCAGCUCGUGUCGUGAGAUGUUGGGUUAAGUCCCGUAACGAGCGCAACCCUUGUCCUUAGUUACCAGCACGUUAUGGUGGGCACUCUAAGGAGACUGCCGGUGACAACCGGAGGAAGGUGGGGAUGACGUCAAGUCAUCAUGGCCCUUACGGCCUGGGCUACACACGUGCUACAAUGGUCGGUACAAAGGGUUGCCAAGCCGCGAGGUGGAGCUAAUCCCAUAAAACCGAUCGUAGUCCGGAUCGCAGUCUGCAACUCGACUGCGUGAAGUCGGAAUCGCUAGUAAUCGUGAAUCAGAAUGUCACGGUGAAUACGUUCCCGGGCCUU
rnacentral:rRNA from 1 species